GCUCAGGAUGAACGCUGGCGGCGUGCUUAACACAUGCAAGUCGAACGAGGUCCAACCUUCGGGUGAAGACCGAGUGGCGAACGGGUGAGUAACACGUGGGGAACCUGCCCUUCUCUCUGGGAUAACUCCGGGAAACCGGAGCUAAUACCGGAUACUCCUUGCGGACCGCAUGGUCUGCUCGGGAAAGCUCCGGCGGAGAAGGAUGGCCCCGCGGCCCAUUAGCUUGUUGGUGGGGUAACGGCCCACCAAGGCGACGAUGGGUAGCCGAGCUGAGAGGCUGAUCGGCCACACUGGGACUGAGACACGGCCCAGACUCCUACGGGAGGCAGCAGUGGGGAAUCUUGCGCAAUGGGCGAAAGCCUGACGCAGCAACGCCGCGUGCGGGAUGAAGGCUCUCGGGUCGUAAACCGCUUUCAGCAGG
rnacentral:rRNA from 1 species